ensembl:miRNA
UGAAGGUGUGGGCCUUGGAGCCAGGACUUUAUAGGAUGUGAAGGAGCUGUCCUCCCACAGGCCCAGCUCGUUGCACAGGCCAUCGG